GAUGAACGCUGGCUACAGGCUUAACACAUGCAAGUCGAGGGGAAACGACGGGGAAGCUUGCUUCCCCGGGCGUCGACCGGCGCACGGGUGAGUAACGCGUAUCCAACCUGCCUCUGACUGAGGGAUAACCCGUCGAAAGUCGGCCUAAUACCUCAUGGUAUCGUCUGCGGGCAUCCAACGACGAUUAAAGAUUUCAUCGGUCAGGGAUGGGGAUGCGUCUGAUUAGCUUGUUGGCGGGGUAACGGCCCACCAAGGCUACGAUCAGUAGGGGUUCUGAGAGGAAGGUCCCCCACAUUGGAACUGAGACACGGUCCAAACUCCUACGGGAGGCAGCAGUGAGGAAUAUUGGUCAAUGGGCGAGAGCCUGAACCAGCCAAGUAGCGUGCAGGAAGACGGCCCUAUGGGUGGUAAACUGCUUUUAUGCGGGGAUAAAGUGAGGGACGUGUCCCUCAUUGCAGGUACCGCAUGAAUAAGAACCGGCUAAUUCCGUG
rnacentral:rRNA from 1 species